AGCGAACGCUGGCGGCAGGCCUAACACAUGCAAGUCGAGCGGGGGAGGUUGCUUCGGUAACUGACCUAGCGGCGGACGGGUGAGUAAUGCUUAGGAAUCUGCCUAUUAGUGGGGGACAACAUCUCGAAAGGGAUGCUAAUACCGCAUACGUCCUACGGGAGAAAGCAGGGGACCUUCGGGCCUUGCGCUAAUGGAUGAGCCUAAGUCGGAUUAGCUAGUUGGUGGGGUAAAGGCCUACCAAGGCGACGAUCUGUAGCGGGUCUGAGAGGAUGAUCCGCCACACUGGGACUGAGACACGGCCCAGACUCCUACGGGAGGCAGCAGUGGGGAAUAUUGGACAAUGGGGGGAACCCUGAUCCAGCCAUGCCGCGUGUGUGAAGAAGGCCUUUUGGUUGUAAAGCACUUUAAGCGAGGAGGAGGCUACUGGUAUUAAUACUACCGGAUAGUGGACGUUACUCGCAGAAUAAGCACCGGCUAACUCUGUGCCAGCCGCCGCUGUAAUAC
rnacentral:rRNA from 1 species